rnacentral:lncRNA from 1 species
AUUAAUAAUCUUAAGAUACAUAUCACAGAUUUUAUUAAACUUAAUUACUACUUCACACAUCGACAAAUUUAUGUAUGCACUUCGGAACUAAAGGAAAUUUACAGCUUGAUUUAGAACAUUCUUUAUCAUCCGUGCACACAAGCAUAUCUGUUAUGUUAAAAAAAGGAAUGUUAAUAAUGAAGAAAAUAUUAAAGAAAAAAGACAGCAAAUAAACUUACAUAGGGCUUCUUCGGUUACAAUAGUAAAUGUCAAAGAAAAAAAAUAAUAAUGUAAACAAACUUAAGAAUUUGAGUCAUAUUUUUCUCGUUCUCUUGCAAAAAUAAAACUAUGUCAUCAUUAUAGUGUAAAAAUAUUCAAUCUUUAAAUUAAAAUAAUUGUUAAAUGUCUCUUGUGUUUAUCUAUAUGAUAUGUUUGUCUUUACUGUAAACUGAAUCGACCACUUAACCGUAAUUUAUAUAUUACUUAAAAAUCUUGAUGCUCACAAGAGUUCUUUAUUUUUUUUAUUAAAUGAUUAUUGGUAGUUAGUUUCUUUCUAAAAUAUUUUACAGCGUUAUUCAAUAAAAUUAUAAUAAUGUUUCUCCAUUUCAUAUGAAAUAUUUAAAAGUAAACGUGUGAUUUUAUUAGGAUAUAUGUUUUUGAUUGAUUGGCAGUAUAAAAAUAUUUUAUAUGUCAGUGUAUAUUCUUUUUUUCAUAUUAUUAAUCAUUGUAGGAAUAAUGUAUAUAAUAACUUAUUUACAGAGCGAAGUGUGAUUUAAACUUUUUUGAUCGUAGACAUCCAUUCAAAAUCUUAAAGUGGAGUUUAGAUGAAUUAAAUUGAGAAUUUUUUGAUAAUUCAAAAUUUUAAACAAUUCAAAUGAUUCAAAUGAUACAAUUGAAAUUCAAUUAUUUUUAAAAAAGAUAUUGAUAAAUUAUUAANAUAUAUAUAUAUAUAUAUAUAUAUAUAUAUAUAUAUAUAUAUAUAUUAAUGUAAAAAAUUAUAAUAUUUAUAAAUUAAUAAUUUAAGAAUACAUAUCACAGAUUUUAUUAAACUUAAUUACUACUUCACACAUCGACAAAUUUUAUGUAUGCACUUCGGAACUAAAGGAAAUUUACAGCUUGAUUUAGAACAUUCUUUAUCAUCCGUGCACACAAGCAUAUCUGUUAUGUUAAAUAAAAAAAGGAAUGUUAAUAAUGAAGAAAAUAUUUAAAGAAAAAAAGACAGCAAAUAAACUUACAUAGGGCUUCUUCGGUUACAAUAGUAAAUGUCAAAAGAAAAAAAAUAAUAAUGUAAACAAACUUAAGAAUUUGAGUCAUAUUUUUCUCGUUCUCUUGCAAAAAUAAAAACUAUGUCAUCAAUUAUAGUGUAAAAAUAUUCAAUCUUUAAAUUAAAAUAAUUGUUAAAUGUC